GUGUCAGCAGCCGCGGUAAGACGUAGGAUGCAAGCGUUGUCCGGAUUUAUUGGGCGUAAAGAGUACGUAGGUGGAUAUUUAAGUCUGAGGUGAAAGGCCACGGCUCAACCGUGGAAACGCCUUGGAUACUGGGUAUCUUGAGGAUAGCAGAGGAAAGUGGAAUUCCAAGUGUAGCGGUGAAAUGCGUAGAUAUUUGGAGGAACACCAGUGGCGAAAGCGACUUUCUGGGCUAUUCCUGACACUGAGGUACGAAAGCCAGGGGAGCAAACGGGAUUAGAUACCCCGGUAGUCCUGGCCGUAAACGAUGGAUACUAGGUGUAGUUGGUAUCGACCCCGACUGUGCCGCAGCUAACGCGUUAAGUAUCCCGCCUGGGGAGUACGACCGCAAGGUUGAA
rnacentral:rRNA from 1 species